rnacentral:rRNA from 1 species
AUUGAACGCUGGCGGCAUGCCUUACACAUGCAAGUCGAACGGUAACGGGCCUUCGGGUGCCGACGAGUGGCGAACGGGUGAGUAAUGUAUCGGAACGUACCUUUCAGUGGGGGAUAACGUAGCGAAAGUUACGCUAAUACCGCAUAUUCUGUGGGCAGGAAAGCAGGGGAUCGCAAGACCUUGCGCUGAUUGAGCGGCCGAUAUCAGAUUAGCUAGUUGGUGAGGUAAAGGCUCACCAAGGCGACGAUCUGUAGCGGGUCUGAGAGGAUGAUCCGCCACACUGGAACUGAGACACGGUCCAGACUCCUACGGGAGGCAGCAGUGGGGAAUUUUGGACAAUGGGGGCAACCCUGAUCCAGCCAUGCCGCGUGAGUGAAGAAGGCCUUCGGGUUGUAAAGCUCUUUCGGCCGGGAAGAAAUCGUAUGGGUUAAUACCCUGUGCGGAUGACGGUACCGGCAUAAGAAGCACCGGCUAACUACGUG